CCCAUAUAAACACACAGUGUUGGAUUUAUUUCUCAUUAUAAAUGUAUAUUAUGUAUAAUAUUAGGAUCCUUAUGAUGAGGCACACAGCUGUCUUUCCGUUUAUGAAUGUGGAUUUUAAACCGUGAGACCAUCAAUAGAUUACUUUUAAUUUAAAGUAAAGUAUCAGUUCAAAACCUCCAUUCAGUUUUCUCUCUUUUAUUUCUCAUUAAAUUUAAAGUCGUCUUGUUAUAAACUAUGAUGACGUUUUUAUAUUUCAUUGGCUAAUCAAUAAUGUGAUUAAACCCAAAAAGUAACGGAUCGAUUCAUAGAUAACUACGAGCCUCAACAUGUUCCAGUGGUCUAAAUAUGAUCAAAGUCUGUAUUUUAUUAUUGUUUGAUUUUGAAUUAUUUUAUUUAACUGAUUUAUUAUUUAGUGUUCAGUUUACUUUCAAAUAGAACAAAGUUGUAAUCUGUGUCUUUGGUGGUUUAGAUAAAUGAUUGAGAAUGUAUCGCUCAUUCUGUUGGUUUUUAUUUAUAUGAUUCUCUGACAGUUUAAAGUCUAAACUAGACCUGGUGACUAGAAGUCACAUCUCUGUCUUUUUAGUCUCAAUAGCGAAACAUGACAAAUAUGUAUUUGUGUAUUUUCUACAAAGUAAAUUUUGAGUUGUCAGAUGUCAUAAACGUUUUCAUUAAAACAGAGUAAAGACAGCAGCAACAUUCUGUCUGUUUGACUCUUUACUGCCGUCUGUUUAAAGUAACAUGAAGGAAGUGAUCUAAUAAGUCCAUCAUCUGGUCAGUGAGAUGAAACUAACGUUGUUGUUGUUGUUGUUGUUGUUUUAGACGGAGAACUGAACGUUCUGGAAGAUAUUCUGACUGAAGCUCCGGAUCAAGACGACGAGCUCUACAACCCUGAGACAGAACGAGCUGUCAGCGACAAGAAAGGAAUAAAGAGGAAGAGUGAGCGCUCAGGUAGCCAGGAUGUAAAGAGGCUCCGCCCCUCUACAGGCCACACCCCCUCAAGGUCUUCUUCCACCAAUAAGAGAGCCCCGGGGCCACCGCUCUCCUCCUCUUCCUCCUCCUCUAAGAAAGCGCCGUCCAGCCCCCGUGCUCGCCACGCCGCCGCCGCCGCUAGCUACCGUCACGAGUACUACGAGGAGAGGAAAGUUCGGCGAGGAGCGCGAGAGGCGACCAGGAGCCGCGGGGGGGAGGAGGUCCGACGCAGAGAGUCCCAGAGAGGCCUGGAGGCUCUGAGCCAGGUACUGAUACUACGAUUAAUACCUACAGUACACAAACGGUACAUUCACAUACCACCUUUCAGUUUGAUACUAGUAUUACAACCUCUUAAGCACGACGCCCCCGAAUUUGGGGGCUCUCGGGCUCAGCCCCACUGAAAAUGUUGUCCGCAAAAUGGACUUAUUGUUCGCCAAUAUUGUGGAUUUGUACAUUUCAUUUACCGGAUUAAACAGCAACGUAUGGGCAACACUAUCAUAUAAGUCACUUUUUACACACUCCAAACACAGCUAUAGACUACUAGUAUAAGCAUCU